GAAGGCCUGCGGGNUUGUAAAGCACUUUUAGGCUGGGAGGAAAAGUUGAUAGUGAAUAGCUAUUGAAAUUGACGUUACCAGCAGAAUAAGCACCGGCUAACUCUGUGCCAGCAGCCGCGGUAAUACAGAGGGUGCGAGCGUUAAUCGGAAUUACUGGGCGUAAAGGGUGCGUAGGCGGUAUAGUAAGUCGGAUGUGAAAUGCC
rnacentral:rRNA from 1 species